CUGGCUCAGGAUGAACGCUAGCGGCAGGCUUAACACAUGCAAGUCGAGGGGCAGCGGGAUGUAGCAAUACAUUGCCGGCGACCGGCGGAUGGGUGCGUAACGCGUAUGCAACCUACCUUAUACAGGGGAAUAACCUUUCGAAAGGGAGACUAACACCCCAUGGUAUUGAUUUAAGGCAUCUUAGAUUAAUUAAAUAUUUAUAGGUAUAAGAUGGGCAUGCGUAUGAUUAGCUAGUUGGUAAGGUAACGGCUUACCAAGGCGACGAUCAUUAGGGGUUCUGAGAGGAAGGUCCCCCACACUGGUACUGAGACACGGACCAGACUCCUACGGGAGGCAGCAGUGAGGAAUAUUGGUCAAUGGGCGCAAGCCUGAACCAGCCAUGCCGCGUGCAAGGAAGACGGCCUUAUGGGUUGUAAACUGCUUUUACAUAAGACUAACCGUAUAUUUGCGAAUAUACCUGAAUGUAUUAUGAGAAUAAGGAUCGGCUAACUCCGUGCCAGCCGCAGC
rnacentral:rRNA from 1 species